UAGUCUGGGAACUGCCUGAUGGAGGGGGAUAACUGCUGGAAACGGUAGCUAAUACCGCAUAAUGUCGCAAGACCAAAGUGGGGGACCUUCGGGCCUCAUGCCAUCAGAUGUGCCCAGAUGGGAUUAGCUAGUAGGUGGGGUAACGGCUCACCUAGGCGACGAUCCCUAGCUGGUCUGAGAGGAUGACCAGCCACACUGGAACUGAGACACGGUCCAG
rnacentral:rRNA from 1 species